GGCGUUACUAUUCAUUAGAGCGCGUCCAAAGUCCCUCCACAACCAACCAGAAGCAGACCAGACCCAGAGUCCAUCUCCUUCCUCAGCACAGCACAGCAGGCAUCUCUGACAAUCUCGUGACCGCUUACGCACAUAUGCAAAUCUCUUAGGAAUCCAAGCUUUCCUUCUUUGCAAAAUCCCUGCUUCAGUCAACCAUAUUCUCUCCUCUUCGUCUCUCUUUUCAUCGAUCGGUGAUGCAGUGCUUUCGGAGCAGUAGUAUUUUGACGGUACCACAAGAGCUUGGAGGCUCCUGUCGCUGUUCAAGAAUCAGAUGAUGCCAAAAACUCUGAAAAAAUAUCGUCCUCUCGACUGUUACUUGCCUAUUUGCCCGGGCUUUUGUUGCACAAUUAUUUGCCCAAGUCGAAUCCAAAAUAUGAAUAUGGCAUUAUGGUGGGUGGGUGACCACUUGCCUGCACUCACAGAUUUUUUAUUUAUUUUUUUGGGGUGUUGA